AAGAGUUGACUACCACAUUUUCUCCUAAUAAUAGAUUUUAGUAGCAAUGCUUAUGAGAUAGAUUAAAACUGUCACUACCUGAAGAAGGGGAAGCAUUUAUUUGUGUCCUCUUAUAUGAAAUGGCUGAACAGGGGGAA